rnacentral:rRNA from 1 species
AGAGUUUGAUCCUGGCUCAGGACGAACGUUGGCGGCGUGCUUAACACAUGCAAGUCGAGCGGUUCUCGUAGUUUACUUCGAGGAUAGCGGCGGACGGGUGAGGUGAGUAACGCGUGGAUAAUCUGCCUGUAAGACAGGGAUAACGCCGGGAAACCGGUGCUAAUACCCGAUAACCUCUUUGGAUCGCAUGGUUUGAAGAGAAAAGGUGGCCUCUUUACAAUGCUACCACUUACAGAUGAAUCCGCGUCCCAUUAGCCAGUUGGUGGGGUAAAGGCCUACCAAAGCGACGAUGGGUAGCCGGCCUGAGAGGGUGACCGGCCACACUGGAACUGAGAUACGGUCCAGACUCCUACGGGAGGCAGCAGUGGGGAAUCUUCCGCAAUGGGCGAAAGCCUGACGGAGCAACGCCGCGUGAGCGAAGAAGGUCUUCGGAUUGUAAAGCUCUGUGAUAUUGGGAAGGAAUGACGGUACAAUAAGAGGAAGCCACGGCUAACUACGUGCCAGCAGCCGCGGUAAUACGUAGGUGGCAAACGUUGUCCGGAAUUACUGGGCGUAAAGGGCGAGUAGGUGGUUUAUUAAGUCAGGUGUGAAGCCCUGGGCUCAACUCGGAGACUGCUCCUGAAACUGGUAGACUUGAGUGCAAGAGAGGGAAGUGGAAUUCCUAGUGUAGCGGUGAAAUGCGUAGAUAUUAGGAGGAACACCAGUGGCGAAGGCGACUUCCUGGCUUGUAACUGACACUGAGGCGCGAAAGCGUGGGGAUCAAACAGGAUUAGAUACCCUGGUAGUCCACGCCGUAAACGAUGAGUGCUAGGUGUCGGCUCUUAAAGGUCGGUGCCGAAGUUAACACAUUAAGCAUUCCACCUGGGGAGUACGUACGCAAGACUGAAACUCAAAGGAAUUGACGGGGGCCCGCACAAGCGGUGGAGUAUGUGGUUUAAUUCGACGCAACGCGAAGAACCUUACCAAGGCUUGACAUCCCUCUGAAUGGCGCUUAGCAGCGCAGGUCUUUCGGGACAGCACGGAGACAGGUGGUGCAUGGUUGUCGUCAGCUCGUGUCGUGAGAUGUUGGGUUAAGUCCCGCAACGAGCGCAACCCUUAUCUUUAGUUACCAUCAUUCAGUUGGGGACUCUAGAGAGACUGUGCCGGUGACAAACCGGAGGAAGGUGGGGAUGACGUCAAAUCAUCAUGCCCCUUAUGUCUUGGGCUACACACGUGCUACAAUGGCCGGUACAAAGGGCAGCAACACAGCGAUGUGAAGCCAAUCCCAUAAAGCCGGUCCCAGUUCGGAUUGUAGGCUGCAACUCGCCCACGUGAAGCCGGAGUUGCUAGUAAUCGCGAAUCAGCAUGUCGCGGUGAAUGCGUUCCCGGGUCUUGUACACACCGCCCGUCACACCAUGGGAGUUGGGAGCGCCCGAAGCCAGUGAGCUAACCGCAAGGAGGCAGCUGUCGAAGGCGAGAUCAAUGACUGGGGUGAAGUCGUAACAAGGUAACC